rnacentral:tRNA from 3 species
GCGCCCAUGGCUCAACGGAUAGAGCAACGGACUUCUAAUCCGUAGGUUGUAGGUUCGAUUCCUACUGGGCGCGCCA